UGUCUCAGACAUGGACUUUUUGGUUUCUUAGCCAGUAGAGUACAUAAUUCAGUAGUCUAGGUGGUCACAAGUUUAAAAUUUCAAGUAAUGUUUCAUGGCCACACUCUCACCACACAGCAGUAGGGAGGUAAUGUUAGCUGUAUAGGUCCUAGUGAAGGCUUAUGUUUACUUGCACAGUAUUUCGUACUGAAUUUCCAGCACCCGUUGGAAACGUAAUCUCAUUAUACAUAUUGCAUUUUCUGUAUUUGUAUUUUGUUUCAAAACACGGUGUUCUAGUGAAUUUGUGUGAAGAGCCUGGCUUUUCAAAUCUAUAUCAAAUCAACAGUUUAAAAUAGUAUGUUCUGGAUCAUUUAGCAGAAUAUUCAUCAGCUUCCUAACACUUUUGUGAAUCUAAGAGGCACUAUCAUCUCUAAAGCUGAUUUUCAGUGGAUACACUUUAUGAAGUAAAACUUCAUAAAGUAAACUUCAUACAUACUGAUUGCAUGCCAUCCUUUUUAGUGUUGUCAGUUUUUCCUGAGCCUGGUUUUAGAAGACAGCUGAAAAGGUCCUAUUCUAACUGCUGGCAUCCAGAAGAGAGAAAAAUGCUCAGCUGAAUUGUUCCAUUGUUGUUUAAGGCCCCUGUGUUUCUUGAGGACCUUAAAUGUCAGCUCGCUUUGAUGCCAGCAAGAGUGAAGUCGUGUAUACCGAGAAAUAUGAGACACUGUCUGCAGAAACAAAGGAUGUACAUGCAAUGAUGCACUCAGACAAACUCUCAGAAAGCUGAGAUGAAUCUAGGAAUAUCAAGAUUUGUAAGUAUGUUUCCUGUUUUGCUGCAGUGUUUAAGGACAAAAUGACAGUUUACAAGGCAA